AUCUCCUUGAAAAGUUUGUUUUAAGUUUUAAAGUUUUCAUGUAUAAUUUAGUGUAAAAUGAUUUUACAUCAAUACUUACUGUAUUAUUUCCUCCCCUAGAAAAUUAGUUAUCACUGCAUUAAUUAUUUCCUUCUUUGAAAAAGGAAUUAUGUUAGCCCCAUGCCUCUGAUUCUUGCUAGUAUAUUAUCUUGAACUCAAGAAGAACUGAGCCAGGGCCUGGAAAUUUCUGUUUGAACCUGAGGAGAGAAGAUGAGUUGGAAACCUGUAAGUCACAUGUCUUUGUUGAGCUCCAUUUCCAGAGAUGAGGCUCUCUUCAAUUUACCUUUGAAAACCCUGAGUUCUAAAACUCUAGUUAGGAUGAGUUUUCGUUGAGGGAAGGGUUGCGCUGAAUUUUAUUAUUGUUGAUUUUUAAAUGUGUGUGUGUGUGUGUGUGUGUGUGUGUGUGUGUGUGUGUGUGUGUGUGUUGAGCACACAUGCCCACAUUUCUGUGCACAUGCUUGUGCUGGAGCACAUAAUUUAGAGGUUAGAAGAAUGUUAAAGAAGCCAUUCUCACCAUCUGCCAUACAGAGUCCGGGGAUGGAACUCAGGCUGUCAGGCAUGAUGACAAGUGCCUUUACUUCCUGAGCCAUCUCACUAGCCUCACCAGUGUGAUGUGCUAAGAAAACGUGGCCUUUUGUGUUGUUGCCUGUCUAGGAAUCUGCCAAGUAUUUGGACCCACUUUUUCCAGGGCAGAGAAUAGCUCUUCUCCACCUCAAACCCUGACAGGAACACUCAGACUCAGUUUCCAAAUAGUGUGAAAUAAUGCUGUCUUACAGAAAGAAUUCACCGAUUUAGAGUGGAAAACUCUCACAGAAGAAGGGGGAGAGUGGUGGGGGUUUUAUGGAUGGAAAAUCAAGAAAGAGGAUAACAUUUGAAAUGUAACAAAAGCUCUUGUUGGGCAGGGGACAGAGGCUGCAGCUUUCCCAGGCCCCACUGCCUGGCUGCCUCCCUUUGCUCAUGGCAGGCGGUGUCUGCCUGGGACUUGCCCUAGGGCUGUUGCUGGUACUGGUGCUGGUGAUGCCUGCCAAGCACAUGGUGUGCAAAGAGGGCUUGGUUCAGUCAGAUUAGGAGCUGAGGGAGUGGCAGUCUGAAAACAACCAGAGCUUCCAGUAUGAUCAAGAGGUCUUCCUGGGCAAGGACUCCAAGACCUUCGAUCAGCUAAGCCCAGACUAGAGCAAGGAGAGGCUGGGGAAAACUAUUGAUCCAAUUGACAGUGAUGGAGAUGGCCUUGUUACUACUGAGGAGCUGAAAGUUUGAGUCAAUCAGGUAGAGAAAAGACACAUCUACGAUAAUGUGGAUAAAGUCUGGAACGAUUAUGAUAGUGACAUAGAUAAAAAGAUCUCCUGGGAAGAAAAAAGCAGGCCACCUAUGGCUACUGCCUGGGAAACCAUGCUGAAUUCCAAGAUAGCUCUGAUCAUCACACGUUUAAAAAGAUUCUUCCACAGGAUGAGAGGAGAUUUAAUGCUUCAGACUUUCAUUGCAACCUGAGAGCUCCUCAGGAGGAGUUCACUGCCUUUCUGCACCCAGAGUAGUUCGAACGUAUGAAGGAGAUUGUACUUCUGGAAACCCUGGAAGAUAUCAGCAAGAACAGAGAUGGUUUUGUGAACUAGGAUGAGUACAUCAUGGACAUGAUUUUCCCGUGAAGACAAUGGCCCUGAGCCAGACUGGGUUUUGUCAGAACAGGGGCAGUUCAAUGAUUUCCAUGAUCUGAACAAGGAUGGGAAGUUGGACAAGAACGAGACUCACCAUUGGCUCCUCCCUCACGAUGAUGACCAUGCACAGGCUGAGGCCCAGCAUCUGGUGUAUGAGCCAGACAAAAACAAGGAUGAGACACUUAAAAAGGAGGAGAUUCUAGACAACUGGAUCAUGGUGAUCUUUGAAAGACACUCAUCCUCAUGUGGCCAACGGUCACAGGCUUUAUGCAGAUGUUCUGGGUGAUUGCUAUAGUUGUCAAGUGUAUAGCAGUUGUGUCCCUAAACCGUGAGAUUAUACCUCAGAUUGGGGUAAAAAUUAUUUUUCACUCCAUAUUUACUGGAAAAUAACCAUCACUAUCUAUUCCAGUAGGAUUUGGCUUAAAACACAUUGAACUCUUGGCAAAAUGCAGUAUUCUGGGGGAUAUGUUGCUAGAGCAUGAUCUCCUCAACUCCUUCCCUACUUACUUAAUUAAUGGGCAAGAAAUCCUGAAGGGGUUCUGUAAGUCAAGGUGGGUGGCAGGGACACUGUGCAGAAUAAUCACUAUGUAUUUCAACUAUUAAAUUUUGCGACUUCUUAGUUGCCACUGUUAAAUGGUGGCAAAGGUAAAGGCUUGAAGGAGGCAAUGUUAUAUUGUCCUAUGUCAGCCAACUUGGAGCAGGCAUGGUUUUUCAAAUUCUUUAUAUUGGGAGUUGCUAUUGUAAAUGGUAUAUAUACUUUUGUGAGUUUUCCUGUUUGGACCUGCUAAUGUGCACAAUAAACCCACAUCUUUGUGGUUUUGUUUUGCCUUGUUUUUAAUACUAAGAAGCAGAGUUCCCUGCAGCUAAAUCCCAUGGGAGAGAGAGCUGGACCCUGAGAAGUGUGGAGACUCCUGAGAAAUCAGUGAUGACAACAUUCCAACAUUCCCUCUGCCCAAGAGAGAAUCGCCUAGUGCCAACUGUGCCCCCUGGGUGCAAGGACCAAGGAGCAAUCAGAGGCAGAAUUCUUGUGAUUCCUGCCCCCGCCUAGAGAUGUAAGAGAGUCACUAGGAUUGCCCACACACAGGAGAUCAGAGCACCUGUUCUCAGAAAAGGCUGAAAGAAAACAGGAAAACAGUUCAUCGGGAGUGCAGACACAGAGGCCUACAGGAGGGUGAAGCCACUCUCAGAAACAACAAUUCAAGCAAACACCAAAGAUAACCCAACAGCUAGAGGCAAGCACAGGAAACUAAGCAACAGAAACCAAGACUACUUGCCAUCAUCAGAGCCUAGUUCUCCCACCAAAUAAAAUACUGAAUAGCCAAACACACUGGAAAAACAAGACUUGAUUUAAAAAUCACACUUUAUGCUAUAGAUGGAGGACUUUAAGAAGGACAUGAAUAGCUCCCUUAAAGAAAUGCAGGACAACACAAGUAAACAAGUAGAAGCCCUUACAGAUGAAACACAAAAACGCCUGAAAGAAUUACAGGAAAACACAACCAAACAGGUGAAGGAAUUGACCAAAACCAUCCAGAAACAAUAAAGAAAACACAAAGGGAGACAACCCUGGAUACAGUAAACCCAAGGAAGAGACAAGGAGCCAUAGAUACAAAAAUCACCAUAGAAAACAUCGACACAACCAUCAAAGAUAAUGUAAAAACGCAAAAGCUCCUAGCCUAAAACAUCCAGGAAGUCCAGGACACAGUGAGAAGAUCAAACCUAAGGAUAAUAGGUAGAAAAGAGAGUGAAGACUCCCAACGUAAAGGGCCAGUAAAUAUAUUCAAGAGAAUUAUAGAAGAAAACUUCCCUGACCUAAAGAAAGAGAUGCCCACAAUGGUAUAAGAAGCAUACAGAACUCGAAAUAGAUUGGACUAGAAGAGAAAUUCCUCCAGUCACAUAAUAGUUAAAACACCAAAUACACAAAAGAAGAAAUGAUAUUAAAAACAGUAAGGCGAAAAGGGCAAGUGACAUAUAAAUGCAGAACUAUCAGAAUUACACCAGACUUCUUACCAGAGACUAUGAAAGUCAGAAGAUCCCGGACAGAUGUCAUACAGACCCUGACAGAAUAAAAAUGCGAGCCUAGCCUACUAUACCCAGCAAAACUCUCAAUUAACAUAGAGGGAGAAAGCAAGAUAUUCCCUGACAAAACCAAAUUUACACAAUAUCUUUCUACAAGUCCAGACCUAUGAAGGAUAAUAGAUGGAAAACUCCAACACAAGGAGAGAAACUAUGCCAUAGAGGAAGGAAGAAUAUAAACUCCUUGCAAUGAAACCAAAAGAGAGACACACAACCAUAAUUCCACCUCUAACAAUGAAAACAACAGGAAGCGACAAUCACUAUUCCUUAAUAUCUCUGAACAUCAACGGACUCAAUUCCCCAAUAAAAAGACAUAGACAUACAGACUGGAUAUAUAAAAAGGACCCAGCAUUCUGCUGCAUACAGGAAACACACUUCAGAGACAAAGACAGACGCUACCUCAGUGUAAAUGGCUGGAAACAACUUUCCAAGCAAAUGGCCUGAAGAAACAAGCUGGGGUUGCCAUUCUAUGAUCAAAUAAAAUUUACUUCCAAUCAAAAGUCAUUAAAAAGGUAACACCUCAUAUUCAUCAAAGGAAAAAUCCACCAAGAUGAACCCUCAAUCCUAAAUAUCUAUGCUCCAAAUACAAGGGCACCUACAUUCAUAAAAGAAACCUUACUAAAGCUCAAAGCACACAUUUCACCUCACACAAUAAUGGUAGGAGAUUUCAACACCCAACUCUCAUCAAUGGACAGAUUGUGAAAAUAGAUAUUAAACAGAGACAUAGAGAAAGUAACAGAAGUUAUGAACCAAUGGAUUUAACAGAUAUUUAUAGAACAUUCCACCCUAAAAGCAAAAGGAUAUACAUUUUUCUCAGCACCGCAUGAUACCUUCUCCAAAAUUGACCACAUAAUUGGUCAUAAAACAGGCCUCAAAAAAUAUAAGAAGAUAGAAAUAGUCCCAUGCAUCCUAUCAGACCACCACCGACUAAGGCUGGUCUUCAAUAACGACAAGAACGACAGAAAUCCGACAUAUACAUGGAAGUUGAACAACCCUCUACUCGAUGACAACUUGGUCAAGGAAGGAAUAAAGAAAGAAAUUAAAUGAAAAUGAAGAUACAACAUGCCCAAACUUAUGGGGCACAAAGAAAGCAGUGCUAAGACGAAAACUCAUAGCUCUGAGUGCCUGCAAAGAGAAAUGGGAGAGAGCAUAUGUCAGCAGCUUGAGAGCACAUCUAUAGAUUCUAGAACAAAAAGAAAUAAAUGAACCCAAGAGGAGUAGAAGGCAGGAAAUAAUAAAACUCACGGCUGAAAACAACCAAGUUGAAAUGAAAAGGACUAUACAAUGAAUCAACAGAACCAUGAGCUGGUUCUUUGAGAAAAUCAACAAAAUAAAUAAACGUGUAGCCAGACUAACCAGAGAUCACAGAGCAUUUAUCCAAAUUAACAAAAUCAGGUAUCGAAAAGGAGAUAUAACAACAGAGUCUGAGGGAAUUAAAAAAAAAUCAUCAGAUCCUACUAAAAAAGCCUAUAUUCAACAAAACUAGAAAAUGUGGAGGAAACGGACAAUUUUCUAGACAGAUACCAGGUACCAAAGUUAAAUCAGGAACAACAAAAAAAAAUCUAAACAACCCCAUAACUCCUAAAGAAAUAGAAGCAGUUAUUAGAAGUCUCCCAUCCAAAAGCAGUUCAGGGUUUAGUGCAGAAUUCUAUCAGACCUUCACAGAAGUCCUCAUACUGAUACUGUCCAAAUUAUUUCACAAAAUAGAAACAGAUGGAGCACUACCAAAUUCCUCCUGUGAAGCCACAAUUACUCUUAUACUUAAACCACACAAAGACCCAACAAAGAAAGAGAACUUAGGACCAAUUUCCCUUAUGAAUACUCAUGCAAAAAUACUCAAUAAAAUUCUUGCAAACCAAAUCGAAGAGCACAUCAAAAUGAUCAUCCAUCAUGAUCAAGUAGGCUUCAUCCCAGGGACGCAGGGAUGGUUAAAUAUACAGAAAUCCAUCAAUGUUAAUCCAUUAUAUAAACAAACACAAAGAUAAGAACCACAUGAUCACUUCACUAGAUGUUGAGAAAGCAUUUGACAAAAUUCAACACCCCUUUAUGAUAAAAAUCCUGGAAAGAUCAGGAAUUCACGGUCCAUAUCUAAACACUAUGCAGCAAACCAGUAACUAACAUCAAACUAAAUGGAGAGAAACGUGAAGCAAUCCCACUAAAAUCAGGGAGUAGACAAGGUUGCCCACUGUCUCCCUACUUAUUCAAUAUAGUACUCAAAAUUCUAGCCAGAGCAGUCAGACAGUGAAAGGAGCUCAAAGGGAAAAAAUCAAAAUGUCAAUAUUUGAAGAUGAUAUGAUAGUAUACUUAAGUGAUCCCAAAGGUUCCACCGGAGAACUACUUAACCUGAUCAACAACUUCGGCAAAGUGUCGGCUUAUAAAUUUAACUCAAACAAAUCUCUAGCCUUCUGCUACUCAAAGGAUAAACAGGCUGAGAGACAAAUUAGGAAAAUGACACCCCUCACAGUAGUUCCAACUAAUAUAAAAUAUCUUGGUGUGACUUUAACAAAGCAAGUGAAAGAACUGUAUGACAAGGACUUCAAGUCUCUGAAGAAAGAAAUUGAAGAAAAUCUCAGCAGAUGGAAAGAUCUCCCAUGCUCAUUGAUUGGCAGGAUGAAUAUAGUAAAAAUGGCCAUUUUGCCAAAAGGAAUCUACAGAUUCAAUGCCAUCCCCAUUAAAAUUCCUACUCAAUUCUUUAUAGAGAUAGAAAGAGCAAUUUGCAAAUUCAUUUGGAACAACAAAAAAGCCAGGAUAGUGAAACCUAGCAAAAACUACCUGCAACAAUAAAAGAAUUUCUGGGGGAAUGAGCAUUCCCUGACCUCAAGCAGUAUUACACAGCCAUAGUGACAAAGCCUGUAUUAUACUGGUACAGAGACAGGCAGGUAGACCAGUGGAAUAGAAUUGAGGAACCAGAAAUGAACCAACACAUCUGUGGUCACUUGAUUUUUGAAAAAGGAGCUAAAUCAUCCAAUGGAAAAAAAUAGCAUUUUCAACAAAUGGUGCUGGUUCAACUGGGGGACAGGAUGUGGAAGAAUGCAAAUCAAUCCAUUCUUAUCCUCCUGUACAAAGUUUAAGUACAGGUGGAUCAAGAUCUAUACAUCAAUCCAGAUACACUCAUAGUAAUAGAAGAAACAAAAAAGUGGGGAAGAGUCUCAAUCACAUGGGCAGUGAUGAAAAUGUCCUGAACAAAACACCAAUGGCUUAUGCUCUAACAUCAAGAAUCGAUAAAUGAGACCUGGUAAAACUGCUAAGCUUCUGUAAGACAAAGGACACUGUCAUAAGGACAAAUUGGCAACCAACAGAUUGGGAAAAGAUCAUUACCGAUCCUACAUCUGACAGAGGGCUAAUAUCCAAAGUUGCAAAGAACUCUAGAAGUUAGACUCCAGAGAGCCUAAUAACCCUAUUAAAAAACGGGAUACAGAGGUAAACAAAGAAUUCUCAGCUCAGGAGUAUGGAAUGGCUAAGAAGUAACUAAAGAAAUGCUCUACAUCCUUAGUCAUCAGGGAAAUGCAAAUCAAAACAACCCUGAGAUGCCACCUCACACCCAUCAGAAUGGCUAAGUUCAAGAUCUCAGGUGACAGCAAAUGCUGGCAAGGAUGUGGAGCAAGAGGAACUCUCCUCCAUUGUUGGUGGGACUGCAGACUGGUACAAACAUUCUGGAAAUCAGUCUGGAGGUUCCUCAGAAAAUUAGACAUUGUACUACCUGAGGACCCAGCUAUACCACACUUGGGCAUAUACCCAAAAGAUGCUCCAACAUACAACAAGGCACAUACUCCACUAGGGACAUAGCAGCCUUAUUUAUAAUAGCCAGAAGCUGGAAAGAUCCCAGAUACCCUUCAACAGAGGAAUGGAUACAGAAAAUGUGGUACAUCUACACAAUGGAGUACUACUGAGCUAUCAAAAACAUUGACUUCAUGAAAUUCAUAGACAAAUGGAAUGAAGUAGAAAAUAUCAUCCUGAGUGAGGUAACCCAAUCAUGGAAAAACUCACAUGACAUGUACUCAUUGAUAAGUGGAUAUUAGCCCAAAUGCUCAAAUUACCCAAGAUGCACAGACCACAUGAAACUCAACGAUAACCAAAAUGCUGAUGCUUCACUCCUUCUUUAAAAGGGGAAGAUUACUCAUAGGAGAGGUAUUCUAUUCUUUAGAACAGAGCCUGAAGGAAUGGUCAUUCAGAGUCUACCCCAUAUUUGGCCCAUACAUAUACAGCCUCCAAGCUAGAUAAGAUGGAUGAAGCUAAGAAGUGCAGGCUGACAGAAACCGGAUAUAGAUGUCUCCUGAGAGGCACAGCCAGAGCAUGUCAAAUAAAGAGGCAAAUGCUAGCAGCAAACCAUUGAACUGAGAACUGGAUCCAAGUUGGAGGAAUUACAGAAAGAUUGAAAGAGCUGAAGGGACUUGCAACCCCAUCAAAACAACAAUGCCAGCCAAGCAGAACUCCCAGAGACUAAACCACUACCCAAUGACUAUACAUGGACCGUCCCAUGGCUCCAACUGCAUAUGAAGCAGAGGAUGGUCUCCUUGCACACGAAUGGAAGGAGAAGCCCUGGGUCUUGUCAAGGCUGGACCCUCAGUUUGGGGAAUGCCAGAGAGUUGGGAAAGUGGGUGGAUGGGGAACGGAAUACCAUUAUAGAAGAAUGGGACGGGUGGCAUUGGAGCUUAUUUCUGGGAAACCAGGAAAGUGAAUAACAUUUGGAAUGGAAAUGAAAAAUAUCCAAUUAAAAAAAAGAACAACAACAACAUGGCAUUUAGAGCUUAAAUUUGAAAAAUGCCACAAUCAGGAGACACAGAAUUGUAUGCCUCUGGUUUUCUUCAAAUAUGCUCUGGGCCCGAUUCAGUUCUGGGCCCAUGCUGGACCAAGCAGGUUCCUGCCACUGACUGCUCCUACAUUCCUAUAUCCAGAGGCACUAUGCAGUUUACUCUUGGGCCAGGGAUGUGGGAAGAGUUGGGCAGAAGGGGCGGUGUGUCCUGUGGUCUCAGGAUUGUCCGCUUUUCUGGGUGUUCAGCACUCUCCACCACGGGAUUUUGGUGCAGGUUUCCUGAUUGCUUUCAUCUCCCUUAUACAAUGUUUAUAUUUCCUGGGAGAUAUUAUAGAAAAUUUGAUGUUUAUCCAAUUAAUUUGUUUAACAUUCUCAUCCACAGAAGAGUAUAAUUUAGUGGUAACUAAAUAUUUAAAAACAAGUAUAUACAUUGGGUAAUUUUUGCAUGAUGAACUUGGAAUUCACAGAGUUGGAAACACAGUCUAAAGUGAAAGUAUAAUUGCCUUUGUAUCUCAGUCUGACUGGGAAGUAAUUAUGAUGCCCAGUCCCCAUGAGAAUGCAGAGAUCCAUCCCUGCCUGAUAGCCGUGGGACAUCAGAUGGUGAAACCACACCUCAAUAAAGAAGGUUCUUAAGAGUUGAGAGUUUGAGAUCACUCUUUUAUUCACCAGAAUACAUCAAUAGUAUCCAGAUGCAGGUAGUCAAUAUAUACAGUUUGUAUCCUUAUCAAAAUAGCAAAUCAAAUGAAUGAACAAAACAACAAUGAAUAAAUAACAAAACUUCAAAUGAAUAUAAGGAAAACCAAAUAACCAAAGUAAUCAAAAGUCAAACCAAAAUGUAAACAGAGGAAUUGUCCUAAGCAUUCUUUUGAUGCUCGUUUGCAGAAUUGACUUAUAGCCAAUGACUUGCCUUGGAAACACAGUAGACAAGCAGUUACUGAUGGUAAUAAUCUUUUCAAGGGGAAUGUAAGUAGGUCUGCCUUGUUGGAGUGAGGGUAUGAAGGACAAAGCCAUCCAAUACUGAGUAUAAAACAUAUGACAGUCUUUGACUCAAAGUUUUUCCAAUGUUGUGGACUGAUCUCCAUGAAACUCUUCUGGGUGACCCUUCAGGACAAGUACAAAUGUACAUGUGCACACUCUUCCUGGAUGCUCAGCAGUUCUCGAUUGAUGUGCAUCAGCUCUUCUCUGUGCACGCUUCUUCAAAUGUGCACGCUUGCUCGGGAGAGCCGAGAUGAAAGUAUGGCCUAUUCAAUCCAAAGAAAUCAAACUAAAGUAGGAAAAUGCAGCCCACAACUGCUAUGGAUAUUAAGGAUGCGAUGUAAUAGUGGUGUAUUUGUUGUGCACACUUAGACUCCUCCUGUGGCACUGCUCUCCAAGGGAGAUCUUGUUCUGGUCUAUGCCAUGUUCGAGUUUCGCUGGAGAAUUUUAGACCUAGCAGAGCAAGGGAAAAAAGGAUUAGUGAGGGUUUGUUGAUUCAGCUCUCCCUCUUACGUCAGCUCUAUUCGGUUGGACAAUCCAGCAUUACCUGUCAACUGAGGUCAUUUCCUGCAUCCCCAAGUGUCAUAGAGUAAAUGGGCUUCGAUUUAUAUAUCAGCUUUUAAAAACAGCUAGAAAUCGAACUGUGGACUAUGCACAGUACUGGAAUCAAAAGAAAAAUGAGCAUAUUUUGUCACUGGUCCAGGUAUAUUAUAUUGAAUAACAACAUUGUGGCUAUGUCUGAAUCUGAGUUCAAGAGAGAUAUGAGCAACCUAGAAUACCAUGUGGAUGUCUUAUGGAGAACCUGCUCAGAAUUGAAGUGAAGGUUCAGAUUAUUUUUGCAGGAAGGAACCUGCCUAGGUUCCAUUUGUAACCACUGUAUCUGUAAAUACACAGAGAAACCAUCUCACAUCAAAACCAUGGGCACUGCAUACAUCCUGUAAUCACUGAGAAUGGGCUCCGUGUAAAUCUUCCCAGUGUACACACUGAGCAUUAAAGGUGAUGGUGGUGUACAAACAGAACAGAACCCCUGUAUGUGUAUAGUCAUUGUAAGGCAAUUUGUGAGAGAACAGAAAAGAAAAUGUUCUCAGAGUUUACCACAGAUGUAAGAGAAAGAAGAAGUAGAAAAUACCAAGAAAUCUUGAAGAUCACAUAUAUUGCAUCAUGGACAAAAUCCAUAUAAACUGUACCAGAAUAAUACUCUGAGUAGUUCUUUAGCUGACUGAGGCUGAAACCAUGUAGGUGGUCAGUCACCCACAAAGGAUAGUUAUAUAGGACAGGAAACCCAACUGGCUUCUGCCAGCCUAUGUUCCUACCUGAUCUCAAAGAUGUCAAAAUUCUUCUACACUGUUUCUCCCAAGUCACUUUCCUGGGUGAUCAGUUCUCUCUGCUUCAGAGUGUCCUGCAUUGUUUCCUCUAAUCCUUCCUUAUUCUGGUCAUUAGAUGAGUGUAAUGUCAGUGGAGGCAUGCAUACCUGUGUGCACAUACAAACACACACAGACACACAGAAACACUAAUACACACUCCCAAACACAGAACACAUGUGUGUUCACACAAUAUAAGCAUAGUACAUUGCAGUCAAGUGUUUACUUUCUGAGGUAAUCCUUAAUAUAAAGACCGCCCAGGAUUCUCUGAAGGCAUAAAAACAAAUGUUGAGUGGGAUAUGUACAUAGCAGGCAUAGCCUAUAGCCUAUAAACAACUCAGUCAGUGUUGUGCUGUCCUCCCAUAAACCAACAUAGAAUCAUGGUUCUUGCCUUAUUCCCCAAUCUGGCUUAGCUCGUUCCCAAGGCUGUGUAGAUCAGGCUUGUUUCCCAGCAAAGGAUCAUAUGUUGGUGGUGGAUUAGACUCUGUUCUUGGCCACUGUUUCAGGCUUGCCCCCAAAGUGUGCAGCUUCUUCUAAUAGCAGCUCUCUUUACCUUAACUUGACUGACUUCGUGCCCAAGGCUAUUGGAACAGAAUCAUAGGAAAUCUCCAUACCCAGGAUACAAAUGAACAGUUUUUCUCCCCAUAAUGUGAUUGUGUCACAGAUAUUUUGAGUAAGUAAGUAAAUGCUUGCAUGGAUUAUCUUACACUGAGUCAUAAUGCAUGGAAUGGCCCCCACCGUAUAGUACAUUUUCACUCCCUUAGCUGAUGGACGUCUGGACAGAUUCUCCUUCAGGGCUGCUCGGGGACUACCACAGCACUGAUGAGCCCUAGUUGCUCUGUUGACACCUACUCCUUGUUCUGUAAUCUUUGGGUCAACUAAAACUUCUGUUCCAAUUUCUGUACAUGGCUUCUCAUAGGCCUACCUGUUCUUACACUACCAGACCUGUCUUAAGAUCCUCAUUCCUCCUAUCCCCCACUGAGGCUGACUUUAACUCAGAGAAAAUGAUGUUGAUUAACAGCCCUUGCAGAAUGCUACACAGAUAACACAGGGGAUGCUUUAGGUUAUUUGUGCAUCUAAAGCCGCUCCUUAACCUGCCCUGUUCUUGCACCACAGCACAGCUAUGGGACUUCUGCUGGAUGCCAAUACAACUCCAUGCAACUCAAUUUCUCAGUGAAUACAAUCCAAGCCAGACUCCAAGGUGAAGUUGUACUGUGCCAAGGUAGCUGGAAAGAAAUGGGAGCAGGCAAUGUGUAAAACAAGAUUGGAGAAGACACAGUGAGUGACAUAACCUUUCAGUGGGCUUUCACAAUUCACAAAGGACAAAGAAGGAAUAUAAACUCAUGGAUUUUAAAGAGAAGCCUCCCCCUUACCUCCAUGUACUCCAUUCCUUUAAUGUGCUCCAAAGGAUUUCAAUGCAGAUUGGUAGGUUUGCCCCUAAUACCGUUAAAAUUGAACUUUACAAGUGCUUUUGUGUCCUUUUGCUGUACAGAGCUAGGAGGAGAGGCCAAAAUGAUUGGGCUGCUGUAUUUGAUGUUUCAUGACGCAAAGUGAACUCUCAGAGUGGUUUUCUCAGUAAACUUGGAAAUAGGCAACACAGUUAUAUUUUUGCACAAACUAAAACACAAAUACACACACAUGCACACACACACAUUCACACACACACACACACACACACACACACACACACACACACACACACUAAGGAAAACAUACCUUUUAUCCAGCAGGUUUUCUGUUGAAUGAAGAAUUAGUGGGAGCUAUGUUAUGUACAAGUCUCUUACAGUCAAGCAGGCUGUGCUGCCCUGGCCUGUACUCAUUUCCACUUCAGGAAAUCUUGCUAUGCAGAUACUUGCUGGACCUACAAGUAAGUUACAAACUCUGCACAGAUAAACUAAACAACACAUCACCAAAUGCCCAAGACAGAAGAAAAGCCUCCAGCAAGCUCCAUGUUGACUCAUCAUAGGCCCCUCACUAAAACUACCCUGCUUCCCUCAUAGAAGACCUUGGAAGCAUCAGAAGAAGACAGUGACUCAUGGUCAGUACCCAGGAACUUUUCAUCACAUUAUAAUUCAUGCGAUAUUAAAACAACCUCAACAUCAGUCAGAAGGAGGCAAAAGAAAAGGCUACAGUGACUUUGCUGAAAUGCUGCACCCUGUACAACACUGAGAGGGAAUGUAUCCUGAAGAAUGCCAUGCCCAUGAUAUAGUCAGCAAAGCAAUGUCAGCAGAGGGAUGCACUAUAGGAUUCCAUGCACGAUCAUGGUUAAGGCAAUAAGACAGACCAGAAUCUUCCAGGGGGAUACCUCUAUUAAGGUAAAGUGACAAAAUCUAAUCCUUACUUUUAAAAUAGCUGAAUGGUUUAGUUAUUCAGAAUGUGUUGAGACAAAUAACAGAGGUGGCAACACCUGGAACUGGACAGGUGAUGCAAAGACUGCUGACCAGCACAAAACAGGAAGAUUUAGGUUUGUUGAGAGACCUAGGCUCAAAGGACUAAGUUAGAGAAUGACUGGACAAAAUUGUAUGUCAUUAACUGGCCUCCCUGAAUACCCACAAAUUACAGGUCACCACAGCGAUGCAUACACACACACACACACACACACACACACACACACACACACACACACACACGAAAAACCAUAAGUCGGCAGAAAACAAUGAAGAUUCCAUCAUGCUGGAGGAAGAUCAUAAUAUAGAUUAUUCAAAGCAGGUAUUUUAAGAGAGAAUCACUAACUCAGCUAAUUUUCCCUAGAGGAAUAAAAAGGCCUAGAUAGCACUCUUCUUGGUCAGAAUGUGGGGUAUAUAUGGAGAACUUUGUUCUUGAAGUCUCAAAUCUCUCAUGCCUAUCCUCACCUUUUGAAACCCUUUCCACAUCCCUGCUCUUCUAACCAACUUCAGAGUAUAAGAUGCAGAUAUGAAAUGUCCAGCAGCACUUAAACAAAAUAGGACUGACAUGCUGCUACUCAGGUUCUGUCAGGUACCCAAGAUGUAUGAAGCAUGAAGAGACCAUCUUCAUAUAUAGGGAAAAGGGGAUAGAAAGAACAAAAGGCACCAAAAGAUUACAAUGAGAACCAUUUAUUUGGCAUUUCCACUAGGCUCUCCUCCUUGCAAACUACUUACUUCCUGGAAUCUCACAAGAUCCCUGUAAAGCAAAUGAACUACAGGCAUUUGCCUCAUCCCUCAAAGCUCUGUGCUAGUCUAAAGAGGGGCUCCCACAUAGCACCCUCCUCCACACAUAAAGGCAUGUAGUGCUGUGAUGUAGUCAGCCUAUCUCCCGUAAUAAACUGCAGAUUCUAGAAUAGCAGGGGCAUUUGCCUUCCAAAUAUGCAAUUUCUUCAAAAAGGCUACCCCAACAGAAAGCCUUGUAAACGAUCACAUAAAUGAACACUUGGAUGAGACAUAGGUCAGUACAUGGAUAAGUCAAUGGACAGUUACAUUCGUUUGUCUAUCUUUAUGGUUAGACAUGAGGGCAACCUGACCUUGAGGUCUAAUCCUACCUGCAACUGCUUGGCUCUGGGGACACAGAUGUUCAUUCCGGCCUCUUCACAGAACCUCUUUGCCUCCACACAGGAUGCUGGCAGAACAGUCUGCUCCACCAUCAGUUUUUUGUUCUCAUUCAGCAAAAUCCUUAUAUUGUUCUUCUAUGGAGUCCGUUCACGCAGGAGCUGGAAGUGCCUGAUGCUGAACCAUAAACAAAAAAUGGUAAAUACCAGCCAGCUUCUAUCUGCCUGUCUCUCCUGCAAGUACAAUCAUCCCUUCAAGGGUCCUCAUCCUCCAACAUCCCCAGAGUAGAGCCACACUAUACAAGUCAGCACCAAUUAAAGGCAGUCAAAUCCAGAGUCCAAAUUCAAUAUGAAUCAAAGUACUUCUGAAAAUCCUGACACUAAGUGUUUAUAUAAAUCAAGGAAGAAGAAAUGGUACAUAUGGGAGCUUAUAUGUCCAUGGUAUGCUAAAACCACCUGCAGGUAGAGGGCAAAUCCCCUCUGAGGGUGAUAGAAGACCCAAUAGCUAUACAAUCUUUCCAUGUGUUUCUCAUGGAUCAUAAAUCUUUAAAUCUCAUGUCAGAGUCCUAGAGGUUCAGAGUUGAUUGAUAUUCCCACCAUGGUGCAAAUCUUUUCUAUCUAGAGAAUCCUUAAUGGGUGAAAAUAACAAUCGGAGGGUCUUCUACACUCUUCACAUGUAGAACAACUAAGUCCAAGAGUUACAAAUCCAAGACCCUUGCCACGAGGCAGGCUUCCUGUUAAGAGUUAGACACUGCAGAACCAGAGCCCUGACUUUUGUUCAAAGUCAUAGCUGGACAGAAGCAUUCCCUGCCAAGUGCUGGGGUUUCAUCUCUGUCAGUGACUCACUGUAGGAAUUGUUCUCUUGUAUGAGCUCCUUGUACUUCUCCAUGGCGUCACAUAUUGAGUUGUUCAUUUAAUGCACAGCCAUCAUUCUCAUCCCACGUUCAGAUUGAAGUAUAGGCAAUUCAACAUCCAGCCUGUGGUAGGGAAAAAAUAACCAUCUGAGCUCAUGAACUCAGAAUUAGAUGAAAUGUAAAUAAAAAAUAUCCAAUAAAAAAUUAAAAUUUAAGGAAUGGGGGUGAGGGAAGCAUGUGGUAAUCUCUAAGACCAGAGCAAAAACACAACAGUGAAACCCCAAGCAUGAUUCUUCCAUAGAAAAUAUUUCUAUGCAAAUCAGCAAACAUUUAUUUUGAAAUAAGAACUCCUUAAGAACCUGGGGAGAUAUGGCUCUGCAGACUCUCUGUAUAGGAGUGGGCAGAGCCUGAGAACUGCCUGCUUGGGAAUUACAAGUAUCAAGGGUUUGUUUCCAAAGCGACUGUUUCUAGGUCACAAUAAACCAUUCAUAGAUAGCUAAAAAAAUGAAAAGUAAAAAAAUAAAUAAAGUUCAAAUCGGGCAAAAAAUAGGUGAAAUCAGACUGUUCUCUGUAUUAUAUUACUUAAAGCCAGUAUAUAUCACAGACUUGCUCCUUUGAACUGGGUCCUAUUGGUGCUGAUUAAACUUAUUAUCCUGGGUACAGGACAAUAGAGCCAGGGUACCAAUUGGAGGGAGCUGACCUUCAAGAGUUGGCCAGGUGAGCAUGAAGGCAUUGACUAGUUCUGUAAGAAGUUUCCUCAAGUUUGUGCCACAACCUUAGGUCCAACAGAAAGUGGCAAUGACAUUUCUUUUGUUUUGAAAGCAGGGAUUCUCAAUCAUUGUUUCCUAUCGUUACAUGAAUUCCCAGAGGGCAUAAAUACUUUUGACAGGGCAGAGGAUUUAUAACAUCUCCUUCCCUCCAGAGAGUCCUAUCUUCCACCAAGGUAAAUAGAAGGUGCAAAGUGCUCUAUUGAUCAAUGUGGGCCUCCACAGACUCAUCACUAUCAUGACCUAUAAACUGUUCAUCAAACAAAUCCUCAGAGCCCAUCAAAGGUCCCCAGAUGUCCUGAUCCUGAGCAAAACACUCACAAAUACUUUCACAUACAUGUAUACCAACCCAUAUUUAAGUACAAUUAGAAUGCCAACUAUAUCCAGGGAGGUGCCUUAGAAUCAGUGAACAAUGAACAGAUUCAGGGUAAAAGAGUGAUGACAUGCAGGCAUUUCAUUCACACUCCUAGAUGCAGCAAAUGUGACCAGGUCCUUCCAGCUGUUGACAGAACCAAUCCAACUCCAAGCACCUCAGGCUCAAGUACAAAAGAGCUUGACCCUAAGCCCACAGCACCUAGCUUAUCUCAACAGGCCACACCUGCCAAGGCUCUUUGAAAUCCAGGAUGAGGAGUGAAAAACUCUUUUGAUGUAAAGAAAUCUUGGGUUAGCAGAGAGAGCACAAGACAGUGAACAGGUGACUGGGCAUAAUGACUACCUAUAGUCCCAAUCAUCAUAGAUAUAAAGGUCCAGGAUUUGAGAAAGUACAUCCCUCUGGAAUUUACACUUCUGGGUUUCAAAUUUUAGUUCUUCCAAUUUCUUUAGACGCUUCUCUUGCUUACUGAUAUCAUUUCAGGAUGAUGCCUUCCUACCGAAACCUGUAGAUAGAUAAACACAAGUGAAAUUGCAUAUUUGAUGGCCCAGGGGAGGAAAAGACCAUUCUGAGUCCCAGAAAGGAGGUUGAGGAAAUGGAAAGGCUGGAGACUAUAUGAUUCCCUGAAAUAGCAGAAAAGCUUUCUUCAAACUGGACUCUUAAGCUAUGUCCUUCUUCCCAAUCUUCACUGCCAUACAUAAGUCACACUCACUAUUAGAGGACCCCUUGCCCUGAAAGCCAUAAGCUGCCUCAGACAUCCAGACAUGGGACAUUGUCAUCUCAUAUCAGAUGUGGUACAGGUAAAUCCUGGAGUUCCUAAUGCUUAGAACCAUCAAUCUCUAAUGAGUGUGUUCAAACCCAAAGUGUCUGAGAUCUUAGUUCAUGACUAGGGGUGCAUCCUUCCUUGUUCUUAUCAUCAGAGACUUAUGUAACCUACAGUAAUCUAGAGGAUGAAGUGCUUCAACUCCCAACCAUGAAUGGUCACAUUGUUAAUCUCAUCAUGCCUCCUCCUGGCAUGUAUUGGCACUCGAAAUUACAAAGCUCCCAGAAAAAAAGCUGCAGGCUUGCCAAUUCUUGGCUCUCUGUCAAACUAAUCAUCAGAACUCUGGACUCUUGGUCUGUCAUUGAGAAAUCCCAAGGUUCUUUGUUGCAAGGCCUACUCCUGGAAGGAACGUCUCAAACCUAUCUCCUCAAGGAUGUUCCCCAACUCUGCCCUGGACUCACCAAGCCUUCCCCAGAACGAUUUCAUUCUUCCUUUUUUACUAGACAGGAGGUCUGCAUCCUUCUGCCUUUUUCUGGUCUCUCCUUGAUCUCUACUCUCUUUUCGAACUAGCCUGAGCAGCUGGCGAAACAUGCCUGUUUGUGAACCCAAAGGGAACUGAAGGAAUAUGCCAAAGGCAGUUGGUGUCACCACAACACUGGUGACAUCCCAGAAGAUUCUAGUGCUGUCUUAGAGACAAGAGAUUUUCCUAGGAAAGGCUUACUGAUGAUGUUACUGCGAGGUUCUGUGGCCUACCUGCUAACUAGCUCUCCGCAAAUUGAUCAGUUUCUGUAGGGGCCUUUCCCUGCAGUCUCUCAUGUGACUCAGGGAAAACCCUUUGACAACCUCUACUCCAAAGCUAGAUAUUUCUCUCUGCUUCAUUGGAAGUCAUCAAUUCUCUUAAUGGGAAGAGUUGGUUACAACCCUGAAUUGAUAAGAGAUUUUUGUUAGCACCCAAAUCUCUAGGGAGCAUGGAUAAGGGAGAUUUUUCUUAAAAAUAAAUCUACCACCUGAGACAACGCAUGUGACAUAAAUUUUGAAUCCCAAGGUUUUCCCUGUUUUCUAGAGGCCAAUAGCUUUCUCCUAUACAUUUGGCUAUAUAAAACCUGGUAAUAUUUGCUUAAUGUGCAGUCCUAGACAGCUGGCAUUGUUUCCAUAUACACAUCUAUGUAUUUCACAAAAUCAAUGGUCUAUAAUCCUACUUUUUGAAAUAAUCACUCCCUUUUCUUGGGAUCGUAGGGAUCAACUACAGGGCAUAUAUAAAAUUAUAACUUUAUGUCUCUUUUAUAUAUUAAGUUGGACAUCCUCCCUUUCUCAAAUAUAAAAAGACAAUUAAAUGGGACAUCAGUAAGCAAACGUCAACCUGGACCCUGUGUUACUACAUUGUAACCACAUAGCCAUUACUUCUCAAAUAUCAUUCUUCCUGAAUUUCCAAGUCUAGGCAUGAGAAUAUUGGGGCUGCACCAGGAUCUUUUACUCGUAGCAAACAUAAGAAUCAGGAGGAUGGGCAGGGAGUGGAAUGUCCUGAAUUAGGAGGUCAUAGUUCUAGAAGGUUAUCCUUUGCUCUCAGCAGAGCCGACAUUUUUUCAACCAUUCCUCACCCUCUGCCACAGGACCAGAGACUUCCCCAAACAACUGGCUGGCCUUGCUAAAAGUCCUGGCUUGGCUUCUCUUUGUAGAAUAAGACAUGCAGAGUCCUUGAGAACCCACCAAGAAGUCUCCUCCACAAAGGCCCCUUGUUGUCAAAGGAAAAUGUUCUUGCAGAAUCCUGCCAUGGCAGCAGGAAUUUCAACUAGGCUGCUUUUAGGUCCAGCUCACUGAGGGCAGGCCUGAGGCCCAGGUGUAUCUGUGGAAAGUAGCAGCACACACUACCUCACAGCUCUCUCUCUCUUGGAUGCAACUGCUAGAAGUGUAAUACGAUUUUUAUUUCUUUGUUUGUUUAUUAGAAAUACCUACAAAUAUGAUUAAAGUUGCAACAUGCCUUCAAUUCCAGCAUGCAGAAUUUUGUUAAAUCAUUGUUGUUCCUGUUUUAUGUUUGGUUUUGUUUUUAGUCCCCUCAGCAAAUUUCUCUGUACCUAGACUGUUAAGCACAUGCUCUGGAGGGACCUAUUAUUCAAGUUAGGCAAAGCUUUUGUUCUUACCAACCACUCCAUAGAUGAUCCCAUUACUUACUUUCAAAUAAGAAAACAAUCAUAGAGAAGUAAGUUAACCUGUAUGCUAUCACAGAAGAAACACAUCAUGAUUGUGGAAUUGCACCCGAAUCUUUUGUAUUUCCUAGUUUUUUUUUUUAAUUUUAACUUUUUAUUGGAUUUUUGGUGGGUACAUUUCAUUUGUUUUAAAUCUAAUAGGUAUCCUUUAUAGCUCUCCUCUCAUUUACAAAGAAGAAUUUCACCUGUAAUUGUUACUCCAGAUCGUUUGGUCAAUGGCUUAGAUAUUACCUUGCUCUGUUUCCUUGCCUUAAGCUGUGUUAGAAGCUGGCUCAAAGGUUCGGGACUCAACAAAUAAUGAAUUCCACUACAUCUGGAUCCCUAGUCUCACAGACAGGAAGGGACUGUAUUUCCAUUAACUAUUUAAAAAACAAACAAACAAAACAAAAACAGACGCAGUUGUUCUCAAGUAUAUAAAAGUGUGGAUCGUGGUAAUAUAGUUAUAUUAUAUAAUAUACCUGGCAUUCAUCUUUCUCCAAAUCCUAAAAUUUCUUUUUUUGUUCACAUUUUCUUUUUUUGAUUGCUUCUUAGUAAUUUUUAUCUUGUUUUUUUAAUUUUAGUUUUUUUCAUAGAUAUAUUUCUUUAUUUACAUUUCAAAUAUUAUUCUCUUACCUGGUUUCCAGUCCAUAAGCCCCCAUCCUGUCUCCCUCCCCGAUAUGGACAGUCUUCCAAACCACUCCCCUUACAACUCCCCGACAUUCCCCUGCACUGAGGGUCCAACCUUGUCAGCACCAAGGGCUUCCCUUCCACUGGUGCCCCAAGAAGGCUAUUCUCUCCUACAUAUGCAGGUGGAGCCCUGGGUCAGUCCAUGUAUAGUCUUUUGCUAUUGGUUUAGUUGGUUGGCAUUGUUGUUCUUAUGGAAUUGCAAGCACCUUCAGCUCUCAAUCCUUCCUCUAAUUUCCACAAGUGGGGUCCUGUUCUCAGUUCAGUGGUUUGCUCCUAGCACUGACCUCUUUAUUUGACAUACCCUGAUGUAUCUCUCAGGAGAGAUCUAUAUCUGGACCCUUCCAGCAAGCACUUUUUAGCUUCAUCAAUCUUAUCUAGUUUUGGUGGAUAUACAUACUUACACACACACACACACACACACACACACACACACACACACACACACA